rnacentral:rRNA from 1 species
GUCGCAUGCUCCCGGCCGCCAUGGCGGCCGCGGGAAUUCGAUUAGAGUUUGAUCAUGGCUCAGAUUGAACGCUGGCGGCAGGCUUAACACAUGCAAGUCGAGCGGGGGAAGUUGCUUCGGUAACUGACCUAGCGGCGGACGGGUGAGUAAUGCUUAGGAAUCUGCCUAUUAGUGGGGGACAACAUCUCGAAAGGGAUGCUAAUACCGCAUACGUCCUACGGGAGAAAGCAGGGGACCUUCGGGCCUUGCGCUAAUAGAUGAGCCUAAGUCGGAUUAGCUAGUUGGUGGGGUAAAGGCCUACCAAGGCGACGAUCUGUAGCGGGUCUGAGAGGAUGAUCCGCCACACUGGGACUGAGACACGGCCCAGACUCCUACGGGAGGCAGCAGUGGGGAAUAUUGGACAAUGGGGGGAACCCUGAUCCAGCCAUGCCGCGUGUGUGAAGAAGGCCUUAGGGUUGUAAAGCUCUUUUACCCGGGAUGAUAAUGACAGUACCGGGAGAAUAAGCUCCGGCUAACUCCGUGCCAGCAGCCGCGGUAAUACGAAUCACUAGUGAAUUCGCGGCCGCCUGCAGGUCGACCAUAUGGGAGAGCUCCCAAC